CCUGUUUAACAAAAACAUGUCUUUUUGAGUUAUUUUUAAAGUCUGACCUGCCCACUGAAUUUUUUUGAAUGGCCGCAGUAUUCUAACUGUGCAAAGGUAGCAUAAUCAUUAGUCUUUUAAUUGAAGGCUGGAAUGAACGGUUGGACGAGGUAUAAGCUGUUUCAUAUAAAUUUAUAAUAGAAUUUUAUUUUUUAGUUAAAAAGCUAAAAUUUAAUUAAAAGACGAGAAGACCCUAUAAAUCUUUAUAUUUUAUUUUAUUUAAGUUUUUUAGAUUUAUUUUAUUUUUAUAAUUUGAAAUAUUUUGUUGGGGUGAUGUUAAAAUUUAAUGAACUUUUAAUGUUUUAAAAUCAUUAAUUUAUGUAUUGUUGAUCCAUUAAUAGUGAUUAUAAGAUUAAGUUACUUUAGGGAUAACAGCGUAAUUUUUUUGGAGAGUUCAUAUCGAUAAAAAAGUUUGCGACCUCGAUGUUGGAUUAAGAUAUAAUUUUAGGUGUAGCCGCUUAAAU
rnacentral:rRNA from 1 species